rnacentral:rRNA from 1 species
UACGUAGGGGGCAAGCGUUGUCCGGAUUUAUUGGGCGUAAAGAGCGUGUAGGCGGCCAUGUAGGUCCGUUGUGAAAACUCGAGGCUCAACCUCGAGACGCCGAUGGAAACCAUGUGGCUAGAGUCCGGAAGAGGAGAGUGGAAUUCCUGGUGUAGCGGUGAAAUGCGCAGAUAUCAGGAAGAACACCAGUGGCGAAGGCGGCUCACUGGCCCGAUACUGACGCUGAGGCACGAAAGCGUGGGGAGCAAACAGG